CAACCAAUUAGUGGGGAUCACUUCUACCCUAACAAAAGUAAGGAAGAGAUACUUGCUAAGCCUCCCGAAAACGUGGAUUCUAUUGAGUGGGCUGCUUUUGUGCAUCACUAUAAAGAGGAAAAGAUGAAGAAACAAAGUGAACAAAAUGCAAGAAAUCGAAGUAAACUUAAAGACCCGCAUUCCGGUGGUAGCAAAAGCAAUGCAAGGAGAGGUCGUCAAAUGG